rnacentral:lncRNA from 10 species
CAAAGAUUAAUAAGACACAGCACUUGAUGCAAGCAGGUUAUAAACUAGCAAGAGAAGCAGACCUGUGUAGAACAAGAUAGGAGGAUAACCCCAAGGUUAGCAAAGACAGAAGCUCAUUCCAUGGGCUGUUGAUAUGGAGAGUGGGAGUGAGAAGCAUGAAAAAAAUGUUUUGAGAUUGUGGGAUUUGAGCUGGAACGGAAAGGGCUCCUUGGUGUUGGACCGUAGAAUCUGCAGGGAAAAACAAUGAAGAGAAUUCCAAGUAGCUGCUCUCCACAAAAGAAGAG